UAACUGGAGAGUUUGAUUCUGGCUCAGAAUGAACGCUGGCGGCGUGCUUAACACAUGCAAGUCGAACGAG
rnacentral:rRNA from 1 species